ACGACUCUCGGCAACGGAUAUCUCGGCUCUCGCCACGAUGAAGAAUGUAGCGAAAUGCGAUACUUAGUGUGAAUUGCAGAAUCCCGUGAAUCAUCAAGUCUUUGAACGCAAGUUGCGCCCGAGGCCUCGGCCAAGGGCACGUCUGCUUGGGCGUCGCA
rnacentral:rRNA from 5 species